rnacentral:lncRNA from 10 species
ACAGCUCUCACUGGAGAGAGGAUGUGGGGGUAGUGCUUUUAUGGGCUCAGAAUUGGGGAAUGUGUGCUGAUUGGUUUGUGAAUAUGCAAAGAAAGGCUAAAGCAAAGGCACCACUCAAAAGUGGGCAUGGCAGUGUAGAAAACCAAAUAGGAAAGGGUAGGUAUAUGUAAAAUAAGUGAAGGGUGGAGAUCAAUCAGAGGAAAGCACACCAAAUGAAAAGACAGGUUUUCAAUCCAGUCCACAGAUCUGUAGCUUGGCUUUCAGGCUUUAAACUGUCUUCGGCUUGGAGGUGGGUUUCACCAAGGACCCACCCCUAUCUGCCUAGGCAUUCGUCUGCCUCCUGCCACUAUCAAUAUUGCAAGGAAAGGAAAAUGGCAAGGAUUUCUGGCCACCACCAAAAGGACUUCAGUCAUCCUAAUUCCUUCUGCUCUCCAUGGUUUCUGGUAA